ACCUGCGGCAGGAUCAUU
rnacentral:rRNA from 1 species